rnacentral:pre_miRNA from 1 species
AGGGAAAAGGUGAAGCUGCCAGCAUGAUCUAUCUUUGGUUAGAGAAGGAUAGAAGCGAAAGAACUAACCCUAGCUAGGUCAUGCUCUGACAGCCUCACUCCUUCC